rnacentral:misc_RNA from 1 species
CUAUCUAUCGGAUCGUUUUAGAAACAUUCAGGGGCCAACAGUUUCAGGAUUGUUGAGCUCCAUUGGCGGGAUUUCGCCGUCUUCGUUUCUCUUUCUUCGCGGACGAACACGCGCCAGGGGCUGAGCGCUGUGCGGUGCACCGACUAAACGUCGCGUGCGCGCCGGCAUGUCUCUCGUGUUAGGGGCUUGUAGCUCAGUUGGUUAGAGCGCGCGCUUGAUAAGCGUGAGGUCGGAAGUUCAAGUCUUCCCAGGCCCACCAUUUUGAUCGAGUGCGGAGCAUUCGUCUUCUGGUACGGGGCCAUAGCUCAGCUGGGAGAGCGCGUGCUUUGCAAGCAUGAGGUCGUCGGUUCGAUCCCGUCUGGCUCCACCAGAUGGUUUGAUCACCAACGGCGUUACCGUCGUCCGCGAAACAUCACUUCGCACUCAUUGGUCCGGAUGGACGGUGACGUGCGUGUUUUCUGACAUCGUAAAGAGGAGAUCGAUCCGAGUUUGGAUCAAGCGAAGCAAUUCGCCUGAACCAUUCAUUAUCUCCGGGAUCAUUUCGGCGCUCGCUUUCAAUCGUGAGAUUGGAUGCGGGUUGUAAAUGAUCCCUUUUAGCGAAGCUUGACCGCCUCGCUAUCGGGCCGAUCUUACGAAGCAAGCUGGUCUUUCUAGUCAAUGUCCGGCUGCGCGAUCGCAUUCAUCGAGGAUGCGCGCCUUCAGUGGCAAUUGUGCAGACAACAUUCUGCCGAGUGUGUGGACAUUGAUAAUGAGAGCAAUCAAGUGCCUUAAGGGUGUUCGGUGGAUGCCUUGGCGCUGAGAGGCGAUGAAGGACGUGCUACGCUGCGAUAAGC